rnacentral:tRNA from 1 species
GCGAAAAUAGUUUAAUAGGUAAAGCAUGGCUUUGCCAAAGUCACUAUAAGGGUUCAAAUCCCUUUUUUCGCU